rnacentral:lncRNA from 1 species
CUCGUCCUCGUAAGUCUCAAUUUCCAGACUUCGCCAAAUUUCAACCUUUUUCGUUUUCGCUCCGUUUUCGCUCGUUUAGUCUCCGAUUCAUUUCAAAUCGAACCGAGACUCUCCAAACAUAUUUUCGAACAUGUUUUCAUCAUAUUUUCAUCCACGCAAAUACCAGAUUUAGUCCAUGAUCCGACAUAGCCUUUCUGGUUCCGUUUUCGCGCCUAUGCGCUCUGAAACGCCCGAAUGCUUCCAAACUUCACCGGAACUAUUCCAAUGGCUCUCCAAACCAAUAUAAACCGUAACUUCAUUAUUUUAGAAGUCCGGUACCUUACAUCCUCCCCUCCUUAAAAAGAGUUUCGUCCUCGAAACUCAACUCACUUAUAAUCCAACCCACACCUCAACUCAGCUUAUUGA